rnacentral:rRNA from 1 species
UACAGAGGUCCCAAGCGUUGUUCGGAUUCAUUGGGCGUAAAGGGUGCGUAGGCGGCGCGGUAAGUCGGGUGUGAAAUCUCGGGGCUUAACUCCGAAACUGCAUUCGAUACUGCCGUGCUUGAGGACUGGAGAGGAGACUGGAAUUUACGGUGUAGCGGUGGAAUGCGUAGAUAUCGUAAGGAAGACCAGUGGCGAAGGCGGGUCUCUGGACAGUUCCUGACGCUGAGGCACGAAGGCCAGGGGAGCAAACGGG